AGGUGCUGCAUGGCUGUCGUCAGCUCGUGUCGUGAGAUGUCGGUUAAGUCCGCUAACGAGCGCAACCCUCGCUGUGUGUUAUAUGUGUCACACGGGACUGCCGGUCUUAAGCCGGAGGAAGGUGGGGAUGAUGUCAAGUCAGCAUGACCUUUAUAUCCUGGGCUACACACACGCUACAAUGGCCAACACAAUAGGUUGCUAAGCCGCGAGGUGGCGCCAAUCCAUAAAGUUGGUCUCAGUUCAGAUUGUAGGCUGCAACCCGCCUGCAUGAAGAUGGAGUUGCUAGUAACCGCAGGUCAGCUAUACUGCGGUGAAUACGUUCCCGGGGCUU
rnacentral:rRNA from 1 species